UGGGGAAUAUUGGACAAUGGGCGAAAGCCUGAUCCAGCCAUGCCGCGUGUGUGAAGAAGGCCCUCGGGUUGUAAAGCACUUUCAGUGGGGAAGAAAGCCUUGGGAUUAAUACUCCCGAGGAAGGACAUCACCCACAGAAGAAGCACCGGCUAACUCCGUGCCAGCAGCCGCGGUAAUACGGAGGGUGCGAGCGUUAAUCGGAAUUACUGGGCGUAAAGCGCGCGUAGGCGGUCUGAUAAGCCGGUUGUGAAAGCCCCGGGCUCAACCUGGGAACGGCAUCCGGAACUGUCAGGCUAGAGUGCAGGAGAGGAAGGUAGAAUUCCCGGUGUAGCGGUGAAAUGCGUAGAGAUCGGGAGGAAUACCAGUGGCGAAGGCGGCCUUCUGGACUGACACUGACGCUGAGGUGCGAAAGCGCGGGUAGCAAACA
rnacentral:rRNA from 1 species